rnacentral:rRNA from 1 species
AUGCCUGUACCAUAACCGACACAGGUGGGUAGGUAGAGUAUACUAAGGGGCGCGAGAUAACUCUCUCUAAGGAACUCGGCAAAAUGACUCCGUAACUUCGGGAGAAGGAGUGCCUUAUUUAUAAGGUUGCAAUAACAAGAUCCAAGCAACUGUUUAUCAAAAACACAGGUCUCCGCUAAGUCGUAAGACGAUGUAUGGGGGCUGACGCCUGCCCAGUGCCAGAAGGUUAAAGAAGUUGGUUAGUGUAUGCGAAGCUGAUGACUGAAGCCCUGGUGAACGGCGGCCGUAACAAUAACGGUCCUAAGGUAGCGAAAUUCCUUGUCGGGUAAGUUCCGACCCGCACGAAAGGCGUAAUGAUUUGGAUACUGUCUCGGAGAGAGGCUCGGUGAAAUAGACUUGUCUGUGAAGAUGCGGACUACCUGCACCAGGACAGAAAGACCCUAUGAAGCUUUACUGUAACUUGAAAUUGGAAUUGGACUUUGCUUGCGCAGUAUAGGUGGGAAGCGUUGAAGAUAUUCUUGCGGGAGUAUUGGAGCUAUCAGUGAGAUACCACUCUUGUAAUGUUAGAUUUCUAACUUUGAACCAUAAUCUGGUCAAAGAACAGUUUCAGGUGGGCAGUUUGACUGGGGCGGUCGCCUCCCAAAUGGUAACGGAGGCGUACAAAGGUUUCCUCUGAACGGAUAGAAAUCGUAUCUAGAGUGUAAAGGCAUAAGGAAGCUUGACUGUGAGACCUACAAGUCGAGCAGGGACGAAAGUCGGUCUUAGUGAUCUGACGGUACUGAGUGGAAAGGCCGUCACUCAACGGAUAAAAGUUACUCUAGGAUAACAGGCUGAUCUCCCCCAAGAGUUCACAUCGACGGGGAGGUUUGGCACCUCGAUGUCGGCUCAUCGCAUCCUGGGGCGGUAGUACGUCCCAAGGGUUGGGCUGUUCGCCCAUGAAAGCGGUACGCGAGCUGGGUUCAGAACGUCGUGAGACAGUUCGGUCCAUAUCCGGUGUAGGCGUUAGAAUAUUGAGAGGAGCCUUCUUUAGUACGAGAGGACCGAGAAGGACACACCGCUGGUGUACCAGUUAUCGUGCCAACGGUAAACGCUGGGUAGCUAUGUGUGGAGUGGAUAACCGCUGAAAGCAUCUAAGUGGGAAGCCCACCUCAAGAUGAGUAUUCUCAUCACUAUAAGUGAGUAAGGUCACGGUAAGACUAACCGUUUGAUAGGCAUUAAGUGUAAAUGUAGUAAUGCAUGUGCUGAGAUGUCCUAACAGACC